rnacentral:lncRNA from 1 species
GCCGUGUGUGUGUGUAUGUGUGUGUGCGCGCAUGUACAUGUACGCAUAAGCGUGUGCUGUAUGUGAGCCUCCUGGGCAUGGGUGGGGGUUGGCAUUGCGGUUGCCAAUCUAGUGUCCAACCAGAAGGACAGAGGGAUGGAGUGGAAGAAGGAGGGGAGAGGCUUGGGGUCUGGGAGGGGAGAAGAGGGUGCAUGAGUUGCUUCAUGCUGCCUGCUUACAGGCAUUGGCAUUGUAGCUGCCACCCUUUUGCCCACGGAGAUGGGAGGAGGCGAGUGGAGGGCGCAGCGGCAGGAGUCCUGUGCUCUGGGAGGAAGGCUUUGUACAUGGGAGCUGUUGGCAUCACAUCUGUCAGGCCGGUGCCCAGAACUGGGGCAAUGGAGACUGGGGGAUCCAGGAAGCAGGGAGGAGGGGCAGAAUGUGUUUCUGAUGUUGCUGUCCCUCUAGAAGCUCAGCUCUGAAAAAUGGUUGGAGUAUGAGGUGAUUAGUGCUCUUCCAUCUUGAGGAAGUAAAGUGGUGGAGAGAGUAGCCAGGGAAGUGCCAAGAAACAGUCUACGAGCCAGGGAGGAGGGAGUGUGCCACCGUACCCAGGGAGAACUUGUUGGGGCUGGCAAUCUGGCCCUUUGUCAGAGUAUUGAAGGAGACAGCAAGAGGACCAGAUGUGAGGCAUGGGGAGUGGAGCAACAGACGGAGAGUGGCAUGAAGACACAAAGGAGGAAGCACACCAUUGCCAAGACCCCAAGGAAGAAGGAUGGAAAGCGCUGGCAGUCCUGCCUGGCCCCCAGCCAGUUCCCUGCUGAAGAUGGCCAGAUCCCCUUGUCUGGUCUGUAUAUGCCACUUUUGCUGGGGUGGAAGGAGGGAAGGGCUGGCUUGCUGAGCUAGGCUCUAGAAUGGGAAGGGUACCUUUCUGCAGAUCCCAUUUGGACUCUCCACUUGAACAAGUGAGGUGUCUGAUUUUCUUCUUCGGUACCUUCCUCUCCUCCCCCUCCCUUCGCCUCACCCCGCUUUCAUCUAUCAUCACCACCUGGGUCCUACUGCUUGGCACCCAACCAACUGGAUGCCGCCACGUUUGGCAGUGCUGCACUGGCACGUGAACAGUGUCUCAGAUCCUGGCACUGCAGCAAACCCAAAGCCACCAAACAUGCUCAUGAUGCCACUUGGCAGCAGUCAGAGAGAGGGGGCUGUGCACAUAGUGGUGCCAGGCAUUGGGUGGAGCUCUGUGCAGGGAACUGGCAUGAGAGGAUGCCCUUAACAACUGGGCUGAGUCAGCACUCCCUGGUCAAUCUCAGCUCUGCCUUCCUCCCAACUAGAUAUCCACCUCCUUCCUACCCUUAUUGCCCCCACGAAAGGGAUUUAGAUGGUACCAUAUUGAGUGUUUGAGCACCAUGCGAAAGGAAACAAGCACAGAGGGACAGGCUAGAGCACAGGCUGUAGACACACCCAAGGCUCCAGGCUAGUGGACCAUACAUAUCCUUGGACAACAACAACAACAAAACCCUAGGAGAGCAAAAGGAGGUGGAGAGAGGGACACCAGCUGGGUUGUUACCAGGAUGGCACAAGAAGAGAUUGGAAGGGAAGUAGGAAGGAGUGACCCUCAGACCUUGCUCUUGGGUGAUGGGGUGGUUUGUACUUAUGCAUAUUUCAUUCUGCCUUGUGCCUUGUGAUUUGCUGAGCUGUGGUUGAGAUGAACUGGUUCUUUCUCCCUUGUUAAAAGGUCCAUAUUCAAUAAUAGUCCUAGAAAGAUGGAAAGGUGCUCUAGGCCUAGAGAGGUAGACAGGUGUUAGGAAGACAAAGGGACUUGUCCUUCCAGAAAGACUAUGC